rnacentral:tRNA from 1 species
GGCUUCGUGGUUUAGUGGUAUAAUUCUCGCUUAGGGUCACACCCCAAGCUCCAUCUGCGAGAGGUCCCGGGUUCGAUCCCCGGCGAAGCCC